rnacentral:rRNA from 1 species
GACGUAGGGCGCGAGCGUUGUCCGGAUUUAUUGGGCGUAAAGAGCUCGUAGGCGGUCUGUCACGUCGGAUGUGAAAAUCCAGGGCUUAACCCUGGACCUGCAUUCGAUACGGGCAGACUAGAGUUCGGUAGGGGAGACUGGAAUUCCUGGUGUAGCGGUGAAAUGCGCAGAUAUCAGGAGGAACACCGGUGGCGAAGGCGGGUCUCUGGGCCGAUACUGACGCUGAGGAGCGAAAGCGUGGGGAGCGAACAGG